GCCCUCCCUUCAUUUGUUUGCUCGAAUAUGUUUCGAAGGAUAAAAAUCUGUUCAGUUGUUCCUCUUUUUGGUCUAAAUCCUGCCUGCUCAUUCCUUAAUCUCUUGUCUUUUCCUUCUUUUAUUCUUUCUAUUAGCAUUCUGCAAAAUACUUUACUGAAAACAGGUAAAAGAGUCACUCCCCUCCAGUUGUUACAAUCUUUCAUAUCGCCCUUCUUAAAGAUCUUACAAAUCAAUCCCUUUCUCCAGUCUGAUGGCCAAUUUUCUUCUUCCCAUAG
rnacentral:lncRNA from 1 species